UGGGGAAUCAACAAGCGUUGAAUACAGUGAGAAGGAGUAUGUAGUUUAUUGGCAUUUGGAAUGUGAGUUUGGACAUGUCAUAUGAUUGGAAUGCAUGAGAAUAGUUGUAGUCAGAACAAGCACUUAGGCAAGUAGCAUUUUGUUUAAUAACUUGGAAUUUACUGUAUACUGUAUUUUCUCACAUAAGUAUUAUAAAUAUUUUCAGUUUAUUUGCUUCUCAGCUUUAUGACAUUUUGAUAGAUGAAUGUUGAAAUUUCUUAUGGAGGCAAACUUUGUCUUUUCUCCAUAGUUCCUACAGUAGGGGUUGUUUCUUUUCUUUCUUCCUUUUUAUUUAUUUAAUUUAUUUAUUUUGAGACAAGAGUCUCACUAUGUAACCUUGGAAAUCUAUGAACUGACUCAAUAUUUAGACCUUGCUGGCCUCAAACUCACAGAAGUCUGCCUGCCUCUGCUUCUGUCCUCUGCCCUCUGCCCUGGGAUUAAAGGUGCUACCAUGCCUGGCACUGCUGUAUGGUUUCUUGGAGGGUGUCAGUUUAUUGAGUGGCAGAGAGGAAGUGCAGAGGCCUUGUGAGAAAGAUGUUCAUGCUGGGCCUUGCGUGCCAUGUUUACAGGUUUUGGGAUUUCACGAGCAGAGCUGCUGGAGGGUUUGGACCCAGGUGUGCGGCCUGAGCACAGAGCUGAGGGUAAUUUAGACUGCACUCUCCAAAGGAAGCCUUGGGCCAACUGUUUGGUGUGCUGAGCAGGCAGGAAAGCAGUAAAUGACUAAAGCCCUCUUGAUUGGCAGGUGAUUCUGGGAGCAUUAAGAGCAUCUUGGACUCCUGUAAGGGAACACCCUGUCUUCCUCUUUGCCUCUGUGUGAGUAGAAAGUAAUUUUCAUGCAUCCUUCCUCAGGAAGAAUUUGUGAGUAGUCUAUCAUCCUCUUGGUCUUGGGUUAUUUAAAACAUGUCAGCUAAGAAAUCUGUAUUAAUGUUAUAAAAACAUGAUACACACUUUUAAUGUAUAUAAAAUUUUAAAGAUGCCUGGGGCUGCAGCUUAUUGGUAGAACACUUGCUUCCUUUCCCAGGCAUGAUGCCCUAGGUCCAGUCUCUAGGACUGCUAAAACAGAAAAAAGUAGGAUGUAUUAAUGUAUCUAAAGUUGAACUUUUCUCGUCAGCCCAAGUGUCCUCCAGGUUUGAUGUACUAUUAUCUGCUCUGAUUUGUACACAUAUGACUGUUAGAAGGACUGGCUUCCAUCCUAGUGUAAUCAGGCAGCGGUCCCAUCUGACCCCUGUAGUGGAACUGUGCUGAAAGACUACUAUUUCUGUAAUUACAGUAGGAUGUGAUGUGCUCCUUCGUAUUUUUUUACUGUUGAGUUGUAAGGAGACACCCCGAAUGCUUUGAAGGAUGCUUAUCAGUUGGCAUCCAGGUAGAAUGCUAGCUGUGUUUGGGAAUCUUGUGCGUAAAGGUGGGAGGGAUUGGUGUUUCAGGUGGUGGCAGGUGUGCUUCCUGCCAAGUUGGCAUAAUGGAAACAGGGCUCUUCUGAGCUGCCAUCUGUUUGUGCUUGAUAGGAAACCAACAGUGAGUUCUGGAGAGUGAGGAACUGUUCCGCUUAUGUUGAAAUGUUUAGGGAUUAGUAAUGCACAGACCAUGCUGAGCAGGUCUUACCACUACUGGGAGAAGUAUAGCCUAUGUUGAGUGACUUUAGUCGCCAUUGAAUUAGGAAGAUAGCUGCUUGGUUCAGCCCUCUUGCCCCAUACACUGAAGAGACAGUUCUUUUCUGCUCACCCAGACUAUUCUCUUGGCAUAGUCCCAGUAAUAGAAUGAGUUAGAUGGGCCAGAGGCAUAAUAUUUACAGGCCUAUCCCCCAACUGCCCCUACUACUUGUCCUAAGGGGGCUCUGUCUGCCUCUAACCCUGUUGGUAGGCUUUUUGUUUGCAAAUUAUGGUAAAUGUAAGGUUGUGUGUGUGUAGUCAGAGGCCAUCUUAGAUGUUUUUCCUCAUGGGUUGCCUACUUUGUGUUUUGAGACAAUCUUACUGUUCUGGAACUUAAGGAUUUGGUAGGCUGUCUUUCUGUCUGUGUGUCUGACUAGCAAGUAAAUUCCAUGGAUCUUGCUGCCUCUGCCUUCCCAGUGCUGGGAUUACAAUCAUGUGCCAUUGCACCAGACUUUUUCUUUUCUUUUUAAUUGUUGUUUGUUUUUCUAAAGGUAGGGUCUAGUAUGUAGUCCUGGCUAGCCUGGAACCAGCUAUGUAGACCAGGAUAGACGCUCUGUUAUGCUCUGUUCUGCUUCCUGUUAGGAUGAAAGACAUGUACCACCAUGCCUCGCUGGCAUGGGUUCUUUGGUUUUAUUCCCCACAUUUUGCUUUGUUUCUCAUGUAUUGGUCUCACAAAGCAACGAUGUAGAAGAGAGAAUAACUCCCUUCUCACCUAGCAGUUAAUGGUGCGUUAACUGGAGGAGUUAAUCUGUAGUUCAGAAACCAGCCAAAAAUAGCUUUUAGGAUGAACUAAGGCUUGUUUGUUAAGCACAGGUUUCUGUCUUGCCUCUUCC
rnacentral:lncRNA from 1 species